GUAGCCUGAAUUAGGUCAGAGGCCUCGGGCUGUGAGGGAAGGGGUAGUGGGGACGAGAGAGGGUGGCUCUGAAGAGUGUCCAAGGGAAGGACGGAGGAGUUCAAUUCAAUAAUAGAUGUCAGAAUCGGUCCCCAGCUCUGUGUGGGGGGAACACAGGUGUGGGACGAGCCUGCGGGCAGUUGGAACUCAGGUACGGUGAAAAUGAUGACAGUGGAGGUCAGACUGCAGCGAGCGAGCAGACCGAGCCUGGUCUCACCAGAGUGAGAGUGGAUUGCUGACAAAGGGCAGCGCUCCAGGGCGGGUGCACAGUGGGACCACAGUGCCUGCUGUGCAGGAAGUAAUGAGAAAGAAAGAGAGGACCGCAGUGGCCCUUGGACUUGAAAAGCCCCGGGGGAGGCUGCUAAAGUCCCGGACUGUGCAUGCCUUAGGCUGCAGGGAGCGGGAGGUUACUUCAGGUGCCUCACAAGCCUUCACCAUCCAAAGAGACCUUUCCCUGGGAUAAAGCAUAGUCCAUUUGCUCUGGUUAGGCGUCUGGCUCUGAGGCCCACCCCUCGCCAUCUUGGUUGAUCUCUCCCCUCCCUAGAUUUCAGCUUCUUAAGGAUGUGGAGAGCUUCAGCCUCCCUCUCUCCCGGUCUUUGUCUGAUGUAGCUGGUGAAAGUGCUUUGUAAACAGAACAAAAGGAGUGCCGGGGACCUUUCCCAUUGCAUUUCAGCAUCUUGGGAAGUGAAGAGUGAGGAGGAGAAAAUAGGCAUCUGGCAAGGAGCCAACACCUGGCACCAGGAUUCCAAGUGAGGGAGGCAUGCUGUCGAUGGCUGGCUUUUGGGAAGACGGUGGGUGGACGGAUCCACUCGUACAUCUUGAGGCUGGGGCGCACACAGCCGCAGGCUUGUCAUUGUGAAAAGGAUCACCUGAGACGAGGAAUGUUACUUUCUUUGCACGGAGAGGACGCGGGGCUUCCGGGGUCCUCAAGCAAAUCUAGUCCCCAGGGCCGUCGGUUUUCCUCGUGGAUUGCAGCCACAGCAGCCCGAAUUCAGGGACUCGAGGAUCUUUGAACCCCCGCUGAACCUUGUUGUCAGAACCCCGAGUGGCAGCUGUUUCCACAGAUCGAUUCUUGUCACCUGCGAGGCCUGUCCAGGAGCUUCUACAAUUCUGGGGGCCACUCCCCGGGAGAGCCGACGAGCCUGGCUGCGCCUUCCAUUUCCAGACCUGUAGCGACGCCUGGCGACCAAAGGAAGAAUAACUGCGGUCAUCUGCGCGCUUUUGCCUGCUAGCUGAGGGGCCCUUCUGGGUGGGGUCCUGCUGGGCACCCUGUUGGGCCAAGGGAAGCAGCAGACACUUCCUUGGGAUCCUGGAGUCACAAGGGCUCCCCAGAGUAGCCUUGACUGGGCCUUCUACUGGCCAGAUGACCAUUGAAUUCCUAAUCCCAUCCAAGACCUGGCAGAGGGGAUUAGGGGCCCCAGGAAGGAGCAGGGCUGACUGUGGGUGGUAGCCAGAGACCUCAGGUCCUCAAAGAGAAGGAUUUCCACUUUUCGACUCUAUAAAUUAUUUGGGGUCAUCAUUGUUCCCUUUCUGGCAA